rnacentral:tRNA from 1 species
CACUAGGACUCACAAUUUUACUAGGCCUUUACUUCACUGCCCUACAGGCCAUCGAAUAUUAUGAGGCACCUUUCACGAUCGCAGACGGAGUCUACGGCUCUACAUUCUUUGUAGCUACAGGAUUCCACGGACUACAUGUUAUUAUUGGGUCAACCUUCCUGGCCGUUUGCCUCCUUCGACAAAUCCAAUACCACUUCACAUCUGAACACCACUUCGGUUUUGAAGCCGCUGCCUGAUACUGACAUUUUGUCGACGUAGUGUGAUUAUUCCUUUACGUAUCCAUCUACUGAUGAGGCUCAUAUCUUUCUAGUAUUAAAUUAGUACAAGUGACUUCCAAUCAUUUAGUCUUGGUUAAACCCCAGGGAAAGAUA